UGCAGUGGAAUAUCCAAGCCUCCUGUGUAAACACACCUUUUUCAGGCUCAGCUGGUACCACUGUCUGUCCCACCAGCUGAACUGAUAGUCGAACUGUGGUCCAACCUGAUGCCCGAGGAUCAUGUUAUCAGUUGUUCCUA